UGAGUUGAGAUUGGAGAUUAACAAACUGGCUCUGAGUCAAUACAAGCUCGAUCUGCUUGGUUUCACUUCCAUCUGGGGAAAAGGGUCACACAAAAACGGACAGGGAACAUUCUGGCACGUUGGACCGACCUGUACUGGGGACGUGAAGGAGUCGAAGUGCAGCGGAAGCGGUGAUAUCAAAACACAGUGGAAGAGAUUGAUUCUCAGCCGGCAACAAAAAGCGGAUUUGAGGUUCAACAACUGUAAAAAAAAAA